GGGGGAAUAUUGGACAAUGGGCGCAAGCCUGAUCCAGCCAUGCCGCGUGAGUGAUGAAGGCCCUAGGGUUGUAAAGCUCUUUCACCGGUGAAGAUAAUGACGGUAACCGGAGAAGAAGCCCCGGCUAACUUCGUGCCAGCAGCCGCGGUAAUACGAAGGGGGCUAGCGUUGUUCGGAUGUACUGGGCGUAAAGCGCACGUAGGCGGACUAUUAAGUCAGGGGUGAAAUCCCGGGGCUCAACCCCGGAACUGCCUUUGAUACUGGUAGUCUUGAGUUCGAGAGAGGUGAGUGGAAUUCCGAGUGUAGAGGUGAAAUUCGUAAAUAUUCGGAGGAACACCAGUGGCGAAGGCGGCUCACUGGCUCGAUACUGACGCUGAGGUGCGAAAGCGGGGGGAGCAAACAGG
rnacentral:rRNA from 1 species